rnacentral:rRNA from 1 species
UACGGAGGGGGCUAGCGUUGUUCGGAAUUACUGGGCGUAAAGCGCACGUAGGCGGAUCGAUCAGUCAGGGGUGAAAUCCCAGAGCUCAACUCUGGAACUGCCUUUGAUACUGUCGAUCUAGAGUAUGGAAGAGGUGAGUGGAAUUCCGAGUGUAGAGGUGAAAUUCGUAGAUAUUCGGAAGAACACCAGUGGCGAAAGCGGCUCACUGGCUCGGUUCUGACGCUGAGGCGCGAAAGCGUGGGGAGCAAACAGG